rnacentral:rRNA from 1 species
AAAGGAAUUGACGGGGACCCGCACAAGCGGUGGAGCAUGUGGUUUAAUUCGACGCAACGCGAAGAACCUUACCAGGCCUUGACAUCUAGAUGCUGGGUAUAGAGAUAUACCGUUCCUUCGGGACAUCUAAGACAGGUGGUGCAUGGUUGUCGUCAGCUCGUGUCGUGAGAUGUUGGGUUAAGUCCCGCAACGAGCGCAACCCUUGUCGUUAGUUGCUAACAGUAAGAUGAGGACUCUAACGAGACUGCCAGUGACAAACUGGAGGAAGGUGGGGAUGACGUCAAAUCAUCAUGCCCCUUAUGGCCUGGGCUACACACGUGCUACAAUGGCUAGUACAAAGAGAAGCGAAGUGGUGACAUGGAGCAAACCUCAAAAAGCUAGUCCCAGUUCAGAUUGCAGGCUGCAACUCGCCUGCAUGAAGUCGGAAUCGCUAGUAAUCGCGAAUCAGCAUGUCGCGGUGAAUACGUUCCCGGGUCUUGUACACACCGCCCGU